CACGACUCAGUCCUCCAUGUGGCAGCAUGGAGUUUUCCUGCCUUUGAUCCUUUCUUGUGGUUUGACACUUACCCUGCUCCCUCUGGGGUCCAGGCUAGUGAAAAACUAAGCUGAUAAGAGGGGAUCUUUGUUAAAAUGGAGAAAACAGACAGGGAAUCUGUGCAGUUAGGAUCCUGGAAGGAAAUGGGUGGGAUCGUUCAGGAGAGUGUCGUGAGAGACCGUUUCCAAGGGUGUGAGAUGGGUAAGGGGAACCACCAACAAUGGUGGAGGUCAUUACCAAACACAGGCCAGAAGGGCAGGGAGAACGCUGGUGACCAGCACCCGGAAGCCGCUGACAGUGUGGGCUUUGGAAGACGAACACAGCAAUUGAUUUGCUGUUGUCUGCUACACGCCAAGCAUGGCUCUAUUCACCACGGAUGCAAUAAUGAAUUAGAAACACCUCUGUGCCGAAAAGCUCAUAUUCUACAGGGAGGAGGGGAAUCAUAAACAGAUAACUAGAAACAACCUGCAGGUGCAGUCAUAGAAGUAUGCCUGUGGAAAUAUGCAUCUACCAAGGAAGAGAACUUCACCUGACUUGGGGAUUUGAGGAAGACUUCCUGUUGGAAUAAUGAUGGAGAUGAUAUUAGCAAUGAAAGCAACUGGUCAUGCCGAUGAAAUGUGUACAAGUGAAACCUGAACCACAUUGGAUACGUAGCUGCUCAUGGAGACAUCCCAUAAAAAGUCUAAUUGGUGGAAUCCGCAAAUUGACAAGAGACCUUGCAAAUAUUAGUGGAAAAUAUCUGGACUACUAAUUCAGCCUGCAAAAGGGAGAAUAUAUUUGAAUGAAAAUAGCACUCACUGGAGACAUCCAUCCUCCAUAAUAUCCACACAUAGUCUCAACAAGGAUGUUGUGUGAAGAGGUGAUACUGGGAGCUGCUGCAACCAUCUUGCAACCACAAGGAGACAAACUUGAGGACAAAAGGUAACGUGAAAAUGGCAAAGAAUGACUUAGGUCUUUGAUGUUAUCAUUGAACUAUGAAAUGAG
rnacentral:lncRNA from 1 species